rnacentral:rRNA from 1 species
UACGUAGGUGACCAGCGUUGUCCGGAUUUACUGGGCGUAAAGAGCGCGCAGGCGGUCGUUCAAGUCGAGUGUGAAAGCCCCCGGCUCAACUGGGGAGGGUCAUUCGAUACUGAUCGACUUGAAGGCAGGAGAGGGAAGUGGAAUUCCCGGUGUAGUGGUGAAAAUGCGUAGAUAUCGGGAGGAACACCAGUGGCGAAGGCGACUUCCUGGCCUGUUCUUGACGCUGAGGCGCGAAAGCUAGGGGAGCAAACGGG